UGAUCCUGGCUCAGAUCGAACGCUGGCGGCGUGGCUAAAACAUGCAAGUCGCACGGAAAGGCGGCUUCUGACCCUUCGGGUGACGAAGCUGUACUCUAGUGGCGAAGGGGCGAGGAAUACAUGGAUAACGUGCCUUUGGCAUGGGGACAGCUGAGGGAAACUUCACGUAAUACCCAAUGAGACCACAGUGCUUUCGGGCACAGGGGUCAAAGAUGGGGCUCCUUCGGGACCUAUCGGCCAUAGAGCGGUCCAUGUCCUAUCAGCUUGUUGGUGAGGUAAUGGCUCACCAAGGCGACGACGGGUACCGGGACUGAGAGGUUGACCCGGCGCAUCGGGACUGAGACACUGCCCGGACUCCUACGGGAGGCUGCAGUAACGAAUAUUGGUCAAUGGGCGAAAGCCUGAACCAGCGACGCCGCGUGUGGGAGGAAGCCCUUCGGGGUGUAAACCACUGUCAGGGAUUACCAAGCAAUGGAGGCUAAUACCCUCCUGCGUUGAGGCGUCCCAGAGGAAGUCACGGCUAACUUCGUGCCUGCAGCCGCGGUAAUACGAAGGUGGCGAGCGUUGUUCGGAAUCACUGGGCUUAAAGAGCACGUAGGCGGACUGCCAAGCGUCUUGUGAAAUCCCCCGGCUCAACCGGGGAAUUGCUGGGGCGAACUGGUAGUCUUGAGGCAAGUAGGGGCAGAUGGAACUCUUGGUGGAGCGGUGGAAUGCGUAGAUAUCAAGAGGGAACGCCAGAGGCGAAUGCGAUCUGCUGGGCUUGACCUGACGCUGAUGUGCCGAAAGCCAGGGGAGCAAACGGGAUUAAAUACCCC
rnacentral:rRNA from 1 species